GUAGGGUUAGGGUUAGGUUUAAAGAAUUGCCGUAGUCCUGAAUUUUGGAAGUGCCAAACCGAACCAAAAUUUUUGCCCAUGCACAUCUCUCAUUUUAAAUAUUUGUUGCACCUUUUUUUUUUUACCCCUUUCAGUCAUACAAAGCACUUUCAGGAGAUGGACAUAAAAAUAUAAAGAUGCUUACAGAGACUGCAGUAGGUUUUAUUUUUGAGGAUUUUACAAAAGAGAUAAAUAUUGUUUAUGCUGUGAACAAGUAAGGAAUGUAGAGGUAGAUGGAAAGCUAUGCUCUAUAAUGUAACGUUAAAAAGAAAAACAUGUAUUGGCCGGUUGCAGAAUGGAGCCGAUUAGCAGGGCAGUAGGGAUUUAGGGCAUUAAGGAACAUUUACAAUGAAGAUUUACCUUUAUAUGUUGAACUAGUGGAAAUAAAAUACGUAAUAGAAACUGUGUUAUUUGUUGGGAAUUCAGAGUAAAUUCAAAAUUUAAGGCCGAAUUAACUGAACUUGAAAAAUGAAGCGGCGUCCAUUAUUCGUCCAAUUUGGCUACAUAGACCCCCACCAGGGGUGCCAAAAAACGAGAUAUUGAUUGG